AUUGAACGCUGGCGGCAGGCUUAACACAUGCAAGUCGAGCGGGGGAGGUUGCUUCGGUAACUGACCUAGCGGCGGACGGGUGAGUAAUACUUAGGAAUCUGCCUAUUAAUGGGGGACAACAUCUCGAAAGGGAUGCUAAUACCGCAUACGCCCUACGGGGGAAAGCAGGGGAUCACUUGUGACCUUGCGUUAAUAGAUGAGCCUAAGUCGGAUUAGCUAGUUGGUGGGGUAAAGGCCUACCAAGGCGACGAUCUGUAGCGGGUCUGAGAGGAUGAUCCGCCACACUGGGACUGAGACACGGCCCAGACUCCUACGGGAGGCAGCAGUGGGGAAUAUUGGACAAUGGGGGGAACCCUGAUCCAGCCAUGCCGCGUGUGUGAAGAAGGCCUUAUGGUUGUAAAGCACUUUAAGCGAGGAGGAGGCUACUUUAGUUAAUACCUAGAGAUAGUGGACGUUACUCGCAGAAUAAGCACCGGCUAACUCUGUGCCAGCCGCCGCAGUAACAC
rnacentral:rRNA from 1 species